rnacentral:rRNA from 1 species
UACGUAGGGAGCAAGCGUUGUCCGGAAUCAUUGGGCGUAAAGCGCGCGUAGGCGGCCCUGUAAGUCCGUUGUGAAAGUCAAAGGCUCAACCUUUGAAAGCCGAUGGAUACUGCAGGGCUAGAGUCCGGAAGAGGCGAGUGGAAUUCCUGGUGUAGCGGUGGAAUGCGCAGAUAUCAGGAGGAACACCGAUGGCGAAGGCAGCUCGCUGGGACGUGACUGACGCUGAGACGCGAAAGCGUGGGGAGCAAACAGG